rnacentral:tRNA from 1 species
GCCGAAGUAGCACAGUUGGUAGUGGUAGUGCAACUGAUUUGUAAUCAGUAGGUCGCCAGUUCGAGUCCGGCCUUCGGCACCA